rnacentral:lncRNA from 1 species
CCAGAUUAGAUAGAGGGAUUUUUGAUCCGUCCGGCCGAGGUGAUGUGCUUAUAUGUUGCAUUCCAUGAGAGCAUGUUUUAUCACCUGUUAUUUACUAUUCUACUCACUGGGCUAUUGUAGCUCAUCCCUCUCCCCUAACUCCAGUUGUGCAGGUUCAGAGGUCAGAGAGAACUCAGCAGGGUACAGGAAGAGUACAGAGUUUUGUAAUAGCUAGCGUG